GUGCUUGCUUCAGCAGCACAUAUACUAAAAUUGAAAUGAUAGAGAGAAGAUUAGCAUAGUCCCUGAGCAAGGAUGACAUGCAAAUGAAAAUUUAAAAAUAAAA
ensembl:snRNA U6 U6 spliceosomal RNA